AGGCAAAGAGUACUGAAAACAUGCUAAGGUUAGUAAGAAGUUAGGUGAAUUGGGUAGAGUCAUACUCUCUGCUAGCAUAUAUAGGACUUGCAUAUAAGGAUUUUGCACUUUGAUGUAUAAAUUGAAUAUUCAAGUGGUGACAGGGGGCAACGUAUAUAUGCAUUUUGUUGCAAAGUGAUUGAGUUUCUUGAAAUUUAUUUGUGGAUUGUGAAUUAUUUGGAGUAUCGCCUAUGAAUUUUAUGCUUGAUUAGUAGUGCUCUUGUUAAAUAUGUGGAGAACAGGAAAAAAAAAGGUUAUUUAGAACAGAAACAUAGGUUCGAGAAAUCCCAAGAAUUUCCCAAGUGUAUUGCCACAAGGUUCAUUUGGACCUCUUUUGGCAUUCUAUAAGACUUGAGAUAACCAAAACUUUCCAAGUUCAGUUAGAAGUUUGCUGCUUUGUGCAGAGUUUGGUUCCUUUGCAGGCGUUUAGAGGACUGGUAAACAAGGAUGCUGGACUUUGGGAUUUAAUUGAAGGUCCAGAUGUGACACGAGGAACAGAGUGUCGCAUCUUUUGGACUCUGUCCAAUUUAUGAUUAAUCCAUCCAAACCAACCUGUUUGAGUUUACCAUUGGUAUUUGGACCACACUAGUGACCGAAAAUUAGUCAUUUACUGACACCCAGUAGCCUCUACAUAAAGCUCACAUUUGUAUUCUCACUUUCCAAAAAUUCAAAACAGAGCGAGGGGGGAGAGAGGGCAGAAAGGUUCAUGUGAAGAGAAUUGCUUUCUUUUCCAGCAGUGGUGAUAGAUUUUUGAGGAGAAACGCUUUCAGAUGAGUAUUAUUUCUUUUCUAUUUUUUUCCCCCCUUCUCGUAGAUGAGAUUCUUUGAGUUCCGUGCUUUCUUGCUGCAUAUAACUGAUUCAUCUUUAAUUUGAUAUCAAUUAUGACUUAAUCCCUAAUUCAUUGUGAAUUUUGUCCCUGUACAUGUGUUUGCAUAUAGUGGCUGUAGUGUAGAUUGCUGUUUUUUUAAUUUGUUUUAUUCUGGUUUUUACAUGUUAGAAACUGAAGGUAUUAGGAAUUUUUCUAUCUGCCUCUAUAUUUUGUUCUGUUUUACGGGAGAUCUAAACAAUCUUUGUUUUUGUGUUGAAGCACUUUGAAAAUAAAAAAAGAAAGAGAAAACUGAAUUCAAUACCAGUUAUUUCUAUUGAAGUUAAAUGGCGUAAAAUUGAUCACCAGUUAUUUGUACAUGUUUAUAUUAUGCUUGAAGGGUUUAGGGUAGUUACAUGGAAUUCUGUAUUAUAAUUUUUUUAUUGUCUAAUUUGGGUUUUAAUAUCUGAUGAUAAAUGGCAUAAUUAGAAACAUCCAUUGUGCUUGAAAACUGCUUGCAUGUAUAUCAUGUUUCAUACUCUGAUAAAGAGAGAAAAAAAAAAAAAGAAGCCAGACUAAAUAUUUUGGCCUCAGACAGUGUAGGUGAUUAAAUCACAAACUCCCAGUAGUUUGAAUACUAUUCCAUCUACCCUUUAUGGCUUAUUUUAUCUACUCGUAUGCCUAUUCGUUUGAUGGGUUAUGGGUCCUUGUUUUUUGUAAGUUGCAAAGGGAUAGGAGGCAUAAGUUUAAACCACUUGGAGAUUUUGAGCCAUGCAACUAGAGUAUCCAGGGAAAAAAAUAUUAGUGAAUGCUUAUUGCUUACUUUUAAAACAUUGAUUAGUUUACUUUAGAUUUUCUGUUGUGUGGUCUAUUUACGCUAUUGAAUUAUACAUUUUGUCUUUUCUUGCUUGUUUUUGCAGCAGCUGUCAUUAGUUAUGCUGGAAAUUCUUAUUGAAAGACAUGUUGCUUAGUUUCAGUUAUGCUGCCCAUGCAUCUUCUGUAUUACUUUGCCUAUUGAAUGAUGGUAUUCCUUUCUAUUAUAUUUUGGAUAAUACCUAACUGAUGUUGAUGCUUGGAUGGAAAUUCUCAAAAACAAAAUAGGGACUUGUCUCAGUGGCUAAAGACUUAGAAUUAAUUGAUGAUAAUUUCUUUAGUUGUUAAAUGUCAAUAAAUUGUUGCUUCCCUCACUCAGGCUUUGAUUUUUUACUCGCAACAAUGCACAUGACCUAUAUCAUCUGCCUUCAUUUUGAGGUGCAGAUACUCUUUCGGUGAGUUGCAAACAGUAAAUGUCAAGUUGUCUCCUAUGGUAAAAAUAGCUUACCAAACUGCAACUCUCUUGUCCAUUUCCCGUACUUCACUUUCAUUUCAUCAUCAUUUUGGUUUUCCCAGUUGUUGGUUUAGCAGUAUACUAUUUGCUAGUCAACAAUGCCUCUACUUGUUUCUAUCUUCCCUCUAUUGUCAAUGAGGAACUCCAGAAUGAAAGUCCUACUGCCUAUCUUAAAUGAAUGGACUCUCUUUUCCUGCCAAGUUUGCUUUUAGAUGGUUAUAUAGAUUCUAGCCUUAUUGCAGAGGUCUCCAUUUUCUCACAAUUUUUCCUUUCAUGAGGUUUAUUUGGAUGAACGUGUUUCUUGAUUUUCUGUUUUUUGAAUUCUUGCUUUCUUGAUUGUUAUACUUUGGUUUCUUUUAAUUUGCUAGCAAUUUGAUCUUUGAUACCUCACAUGGGAAUUCAUCUGGUUAUGCGUUGUUGUUAAAAGGUCUACUCUCAUUCAAUCAUUCUUUUUGCAUAAUCUUCAUCUACUUCAAGCUCAAGGUAGGAGUGGAGCUUCUUAUGUUUUUCUUUUUUCUCCAGCUUUUCCUUGUCUUAUUCGACCAUCAGUGAUCAGCACCUCACAUGUUAGAAAUUGAAAUAGAAAGAUAUACUUCUUGAAGUACAUGAUUUUUUUCCCCGUAUUUUAAUGGAUAUCCACUAAACAUUCUGAUUAUACUGAAAUGAUUGUAAAAGAUGGAAAGAUAUUUCCUAAUCCCCUUUGAAUGGCUGUAGUUGAUUUAUUACUAUUCCUUUAAGGAUUAAAUAGCAUGAAACAGUUAUUACUGGUAACAGCAUCCAUCUAGACUUUCAGAUUUCCAGCAUUAUUAUCUAUUCUCUCCAGUUGGUGUCCUUGAUACUUAUGAUCCCUCAAGAAGUUACAUUAAAAAGAUAAUUUGGGGGACAACCAGCAUCAUGAUAUAAUUGAUGCUUCGAAAUAAUUUUGCAUUUCUCUAUGGAAUUCAAGUAGACUAUUGGACAUUGUCGUGCUUUCUCUGAUAUAGCUUCUGAAAGUCAUUUCGCAAGGAAAAAUUUCAACUUCCUGUUACCCUAGAGGGAUGGGCCUUUCUAUUUAUGAUUUUCUGUCUUUUGGUCUGAUUUUCCUUUUCACCAUUCUUCAAUUUUUUUGUUGGAAUUAUUACUCUGCUCGUGCUUCUGUCUAUGGGUUACAUGUCUUAGGCAAAGCCCCCAUUUUAGGUGCUAUCCAUUUUCCCUUUUAUUGCUUAUCUUAUCCUCUUGUCCACUUCAUGGAGUAUGAGUAAUUGCCAAAGAUGCAAUGGAGUAGAAUAGCAUUUCACAAAGUGGUAUACAAAAUGUGUUAGUUGACCCAUGAUGUCCUUCGAAUAGUCUAAACACAUAAAAUGAACUCUUUGGACCCAAAUAACAUCAAUCACAAAUUUGCUUCCUUAAUUCUUAGAUUGAAAAUCUGGUUCUAAUGAAAGCCAUUUAUUUAUUACUAUCCAUGGCACCAUCUUCAGUGCUAGAGCAGCCAAUUGUGCAUGCCUAUCUCCUUUUUUUCUGGGAUUUAAAAUCCUGCAAUUUUUUGGCCCCUCAUUACUGCAAGCAUUUCUAACUUAGUCCCAGUAGGUUCAUUAGUCUAUAUCAACUCUCUACAACCACCUCACAGUUAGAUUUCAAAUUUUCUAGCGUGAUUUUCGAUUCUCUCCACUGGGUUUCAUUCUCAUAUGGUAUUGGCAUAAUUCAAAAAUAUAUGUGGAGUACGUUGUGACUGAUUGUGCAGUUUAUUUCAGACUUCAAUUUGAAAAUGAUUAAAAUCAAUAGAAAUAUUAGUCAAAGUGCUUAAAGUAGGCUACAAGUCAUUAUUUCCUAAAACUUUUGGCCUCAAAUAGUGUCAUUGCAUGACUGAAGACCUCUUAUGGUUUAAAUGACGUGCUGUUGGCCCUAUAUGGCUUAUUUUAUCUACUCAUUUUCGAUAGGGAAUGGGUUCUUUUUUUGUAAGCCAAAAAGGGAUAGAUGGUACCAUAUGGAGUUUUUGAGUCAUGCAAGUACACUAUUUGUGGCCAAAAUUCUUAAGUGAAUGAUUUACUUGUUGCCUACAUUAAAAUCUUUGACUAAUACUUCUAAUAAUUUUAGACAUUUUGAGACUCAAGAACGAAACAAAACUGCACAAUCAGUCCUUUGAGCUCAGUUAUAUUUUUGAUCUAUGCUGCUUAUCAUUAGAGAUUGAAACCCAACAGAGAUAAUCCUAAAUCGCAUUAGAAAAUUUUGAUUCUAAUGUAGAAAUGGCUGUAGAUUUUUAAUGGAGACUAAUGAACUUAAUGGAAAGCAUUGGGUGAUGCUUAGGGUAGUGAUGGACAAAAAAGGGCAGGAUUUUAAUUUUCAGAAAAGAGAAGAUACGUAUGCAAUUAACUCCUCUAGCAUUCCUGUGGGUGCCAUGGGUAGAGAACUGAAGGCUUUCAUUAGAACUAAAGUUUCAAUUCUAAGAAUCUAGAAUGCAAUUUUGUUUUUGAUGUUGUUUGGGUCUAAAGAAUUCAUUCCUAUGUGUUUAGACUCUUGGAAAGACUUCAUUCGUCAACUGCAUAGGCCUUUGUAUGCUUCUUAUGUAAGGGUAUUGUAAUUUAGGAUUUAAAUUGAAUAUGACAUGAGGGACUAAAGUUACAUCUUUUUGGAUUCUUAGAUCUAUUUGGUUCUAUCAAAUCUAGAUGAGUUACUCCAAUUCUAUUUUAUGGGUCUGUUACAAGCUUAAAAUGUUAUCAAUAGAUUUUAUUGUAAAUAAGUAGUACUGUGGUGAAAUAAAUAUAGAAAAGAAAAAGGUUAAUUAGGAACUGAAAGUGAGCUUUUUAGAAAUUCCAGACAUUUACAAGAAAGCAUAUCGCACUGAGUUUCAUUUAGAGGUUGUUCUCGAUUAUUCGACAAGGUUUAAGGCAAAGAGUACUGAAAGCAUGCUAAGGUUAGUAAGAAGUUAGGUGAAUUGGGUAGAGUCAUACUCUCUACUAGCAUGUAUGGGACUCUCAUAUAAGGAUUUUGCACUUUGAUGUAUGAAUUGAAUAUUCAAGUGGUGACAGGGGGAGCAACGUAUAUAUGCAUCUUGUUGCAAAGUGAUUGAGUUUCUUGAAAUUGAUUUGUGGAUUGUGAAUUAUUUGGAGUAUCGCCGAUGAAUUUUAUGCUGAUUAGUAGUGCUCUUGUUAAAUAUGUGGAGAACAGGGAAAAAAAAGGUUAUUUAGAACAGAAACAUAGGUUCGAGAAAUCCCAAGAAUUUCCCAAGUGUAUUGCCACAAGAGUUUGGUUCCUUUGCAGGCGUUUAGAGGACUGGUAAACAAGGAUGUUGCACUUUGGGAUCUGAUUGAAGGUCCAGAUGUGACACGAGGAACUGAGUGUCACAUCUUUUGGAUUCUGUCUAAUUUAGGUGAGUUACUUGGGAUUUCUCUAUUGGUUUGUUACAAAUUUUGAGUAUUGUCAGUAAUUUCAUGGUACUCAUAGUAUUGAGGUGAAAUUGAUGAAGCAAAAAGAAAUGGUAUUUAGAACCUGAAAAAUAGUAUAUAGACAAGGAUUAUUAAGAAUUGUGCUGAGUUUUGCCCUUUGCAGGCGUAUAUAUAGGACUUUUGUGUAAGGACAUUACACUUUAGAGUAUCAGUUGAAUACUCAAAUGGUGAUAGGAGGAACAAAGUAUGUGCACGUGCUGUUGGAUUCUAAUUAAUUUAGGUGAGCUGCUUGGAAUUUAUUUCUAGGUUGUUAAAGUUUGGCGUAUUGCCAUUGAAUAUUAUGACAGAUUACUGGUGUUCUGGUUGACAAAUGGAGAAAAGAAAAAAGGUCAUGUAGAGCAGAAACUUAGGCUCAGAAAUCCCAAGGAUUACAAGCAAGCAUAUUACAGCAAGGUUCAUUUGUAGUUGCUUUUUAACCUUUGUACAAGGCUUAAGGCAAAGAGUAACUACAACAUACCAAGUUUAAUUAGAAGUUUGCUGGUGUCGUACAGACUUUGAUUACUUUGUGGGCAUUUAGAGAACUCAUAAACAAGGACAUUGCACUUUAGGAUUAAAUUGAAUGUUUACAUGGUGACACAAGUAACUUACGGCUGUAUCUUUUGGAUUCCAUCUGAUUUAGGUGAGUUACUUGGGAUUUAUCUGUGUGUUUCUUAGGUAUAUUGAGUAUUGUCAUUAAUUUUAUAGUAGACAAGUAUAAUUGUGGUGAAAUAAAUGGAGAAAGCAAAAAUGAUUUUUAGAAUCCAAAAAAAUGAUAUUGAGAUAAGUAGUAUUUAGAAUUGUCUAGAAUUUUGCCCUUUGCAGGUGUAUAUAGGACUUUUAUGUGAAGACAUUGCACUUUAGGUAUCAAUUGAACAUUCAAACGGUGACACGAAGAGGAAAGUUUAUGUUGCAUCUUGUUAGUCUUAAUUGGUUGAAAUGAGUUACUGGGAAUUUUUGUUUGGGUUAUCAAAUAUUUGGAGUAUUGCCAACGAAUUUUACAAUGGAUUGCUACCAUUCCAGUUAGAUAAAUGGAGAAAAGAAGAAAUGUUAGGUAAAACAGAAACAUGGGUUUGAGAAAUUCCAUUAUUUACAAGUAAGAGUAUUACAGUAAAGCAUUUUGGAGGUUGUUUCUCCACCAUUCUACAAUUCUUAAGGCAAAGAGUAACUAGAAAAAACAAAGUUCAGUUAGUUUGGUUCCUUCGCAGGCAUUUAGAGGACUUGUAUACAAGGACAUUUCACUUCAGGAUUUAGAUUGAUUUUCCAUAAGGUAACAUGGGGAACUAAGUAUUGCAUCUUUUGAAAUUCGUUCUAAUUUAGGUUUGUGGCUU